UGACGGCCGAGCGGGGUAGGUAGGUGACGCCCCGGGUGGCGCGGGGACUGGGCCGGCGGGAGGCACACCACCCCGCUCUCCCCGCGCCUUCCUUCGUCCCCCAACACUAAGCCAGGGCCCCCUCAAUUCUGUGUGCAGAUCUCUAGGCCCCUUGCGGCGCUGGCCCUCAGCCGCUGGCCCAGGGCGCUGCCCCGGUCUCUGCUGCCCGCUGGGCCUGUUGGUUCAGUUGCUCAGGCUCGUUCACAACCCCACCCGGACUUCCUGCCUAAGUCCAUGACACUGCCCAUUCUGCCCAGUCUUUAGGGGGCUCCUGGGCAAUCUGCACGGAUGCCGCCCUCAACUCACUUUAUUAUGCACGUCCUGCCUGUGUUCUUGUAAGGCUGGCCUCCCAAACUCAUUCUCUUCAAACUGCUCACCUCUCAGCUGACAUCUCAACUUAAGGAGGCACCUAGAUGCCGGGACCAUGGAUGGCCUUCCUCCUAGGAAUGCUGGGAAUCCUUUCCUUCCUGAGGAGCCAGGCCUGUCGGACACCCACACACCGUGAUGGUUUCAGCGAAGCAGCCCAGCAUGAGUUCUGACUCAGGGGUCUGACUUCCCCCCACAGGUAAACAAGACAUAACACAGCCCACAUUUCCUCCUGGGACCACACCCACCCCAGCUGCCUCCUGGCCCUACCGUUCAGGUUUUGCUUGGAAGGUAAUAGCACAGACGCUAAGGCCAGCUGGCUUGAGUUCAGAUCCUACCUUGCAGCACUUAGGAGUUGUGACACUUUGAGCAAGUUACUUAACGUCUCUGGGCUGAUUGCUCUCCUCCUCUGUAAGAUGUGGAUAAUAAUAGUGAUGAAUUUGUGUAUGUAAGGUGCUUAGAACUGGGCCUGGCCCACAGGAAACACCAUGUGUUAGCUAUUUUUAUCCCGUGCCCCCAGCCUCUGUUGUGUUGGCUUCUCAAUACCCAACAUCUUCAACACCCAUCUCUUUUGAUCAAUACAGGUGGGGGGGGGGGCUGCUAUACGCCCAUGGCAUUUGCUAGUUUUGACAGGCAAUGUAGAGUUGUUUUUUUUUUUUUAAUUUUUUCAAAUGUUUUAUAUUUGAGAGAGAGAGAGACAGGGCAUGAGCAGGGGAAGGGCAGAGAGAGAGGGAGACACAGAACCCGAAGCAGGCCCCGGGCUCCGAGCUGUCCGCACAGAGCCCAACACGGGGCUCCAACCCACGAGCAGUGAGAUCAUGACCUGAGCCCAAGUGGGACGCUCAACCGACUGAGCCCCCCAGGCGCCCCAAGCUGGUUUUGUUUUUUAAGUAGACUGUUAAAGCUCUAAAGGAUACUCUUUUUGCGAGGAGGUAUAUUAUUACUUGUAAGCAAAUAUUUGAGAACUUCUGAGUUGUAGUGUCUUCGUGGUCACUUGGGGGAAGCUAUCUACUUACGCCAACGAUGCUGUCAUAAUUCACAACUUUUUUUGGAACUUCUCCUUGGACUGUGGUUCAGAGGCCUCCUCGCAUCCUUUCUUAUUUGCAGUUGGUGAUUACGUGUUAACCAUUUCGGGCAGAUGUGAUUAUAUAAGUGAUUCCGAAGUGUUUGAUAGCUAAAGCCUUAGACUCUAAGCUCCCAGACCUUUCCUUUCUCAUUUGUCUUCAAAAACCCAAAGUGGUGCUUUCCUUGUCCAAACCAGCACCUCUUCCAGUGUUUCCCACCUCUUUCUUUACCCAGCUCCAGAAACCCAGGUGUCUUCCUUGACCCCACCCACUUCCUUUCACCUUCCUUUGGCAACUUCUCAGCAAGCCCUAUAGCCCUGUUAGUCUUGCCUCCUAAAUGUCUCCCUGACCCACCUACUUUUUCCCCGCCUAUAGAACACCGCAGCAGUCCCAGCUGCCCUCGUCUCUUGCCCAGACCCUGGGAGGAGCCUCUUGGCCAGUCUGUCCACAGCCAUUCUGGCCUUCUCCAGGCUUCUCCCUACAUGGCUUACAGUGACCUUCCCAGAUCUCAAGCCCAACCAGGUCCUAACCACGCACCACUUCCAUUCCUUCUCAAAACCUUUUAAUGUCGUGAUAACUUAGUGGCCUCACGUUCCUAUGUCACGUGACUCUGCUGCUUCUCCCGGCAGGAACGGGCGUCUGUUCCCCUAGCCCUUGAAUCUGGGCUCACCUUGUGACUCACUUUGACCGACAGAACAUGGCAGAAGUGAUGUCGUGGUCCUUCAGAGGCCUUGAGCCUCUGCCUUCAUCCCCUCGCGCUGCCCUGAGUCUGUUAUGUAAGGGAAUUUGCCAGCAGAUGAGGCCGCGUGGAGAACCGAGGAGUUCCAGCCAACAGCCAUCUGAUCGCCCCACUCAGCGGACCUGCCAGCUGGAUCCAGCCACGUGAGUGAGCCCAGGUGAAAACAGCAGAGCAAACGGCCAAGCUAAUUUUGGGGGUGAAUUGUGUGUCAGUGGAUAACUGAUAGGGUUUCCUAUUGCCCUUUGGAUGAAAAGAAUAUUCCAAAGUGCCCUAUAAGGUCCUGUAUGCCCUGAACCCACCCAUGUCUCUCAGGUGGCUUCCAUUCUCUUUAGACCCUCUAGCUUUGACCUUUGGCAUGCAUGUUCCUUUCUGCCAGAAAGCUUCUAUUCCCCUAACCCUCUUACUUUCAUGUGAGUAACCCGCACUCCUCCUCCAGCGCCCUGUAAAGCCUCCUCACCUCGUCAAAUACCACUGUAGCCUCAGGUAACACCACAUGCUUGCCUCUGGACUUUGACCAACAGAAAUUUGUGUUUUUGGAGGGGGGUGCCUGGUUUGCCUCUCCCAUCUGUAAACUCCAUGCAGGCUGUUCUGGGUCUGAUUUUGUUUACCGCUGUAUCCCUGUGCCAUACCGCG
rnacentral:lncRNA from 1 species